UACGAAGGGGGCUAGCGUUGCUCGGAAUUACUGGGCGUAAAGCGCACGUAGGCGGAUUGUUAAGUCAGGGGUGAAAUCCUGGAGCUCAACUCCAGAACUGCCUUUGAUACUGGCAAUCUCGAGUUCGGGAGAGGUGAGUGGAACUGCGAGUGUAGAGGUGAAAUUCGUAGAUAUUCGCAAGAACACCAGUGGCGAAGGCGGCUCACUGGCCCGAUACUGACGCUGAGGUGCGAAAGCGUGGGGAGCAAACAGG
rnacentral:rRNA from 1 species